UCCUACGGGAGGCAGCAGUGGGGAAUAUUGGACAAUGGGCGAAAGCCUGAUCCAGCCAUGCCGCGUGUGUGAAGAAGGCCUUCGGGUUGUAAAGCACUUUCAGUGAGGAAGAAAGCCUUGAGGUUAAUACCCUCGAGGGAGGACAUCACUCACAGAAGAAGCACCGGCUAACUCCGUGCCAGCAGCCGCGGUAAUACGGAGGGUGCGAGCGUUAAUCGGAAUUACUGGGCGUAAAGCGCGCGUAGGCGGCUUGAUAAGCCGGUUGUGAAAGCCCCGGGCUCAACCUGGGAACGGCAUCCGGAACUGUCAGGCUAGAGUGCAGGAGAGGAAGGUAGAAUUCCCGGUGUAGCGGUGAAAUGCGUAGAGAUCGGGAGGAAUACCAGUGGCGAAGGCGGCCUUCUGGACUGACACUGACGCUGAGGUGCGAAAGCGUGGGUAGCAAACAGGAUUAGAUACCCUGGUAGUCCACGCCGUAAACGAUGUCGACUAGCCGUUGGGCUCCUUGAGAGCUUUGUGGCGCAGUUAACGCGAUAAGUCGACCGCCUGGGGAGUACGGCCGCAAGGUUAAAACUCAAAUGAAUUGACGG
rnacentral:rRNA from 1 species